UCUCUUCAGCUGCUCUCCACUUGUGUUUUUCUGUCUUACCUGUCUUGGCUCCCCUCCCUUUCUGCUCUUCUCCUUGUCUGCACGUCUUUCUUACCUUCAUCCUCUCUUUUAUGCUUCUGCUCUCCUCUUCUGCUCAUCUCCUCAUUGCUUUGCUGUCUUGCCUGUAUCCAACCGUUUUCUCUAUUGCACUUUUCAUUCUUCCCCACUUCUUUCUUACCUGCAUCCUUUCUUCUUCUUCUUUUCUUCUGCUCUUGUUUAUUUUUGCCCUGUAUUUAUCUGCAUGCUCUGUACACAGAGCAGGCAUCACCCACUGAGAGCUGGGAGCCCUUCACUGCGUCCCGGAUUUGUUUUCCUUCCUUGUUGGAGCGUGAUUCUUUGCAGGUGCUGUGUGCAUUUGAAGUAAUUGUGAACUGAGCUGAGACAACAGGUGUGUUAGAGAGUCCCCAAAUCCUUAGUUUAGUGAGGGCCUUCUUUCUCCAUCUCUCAGUUGUUUUUCUUCUUUUCUCUCUGUUAGCACGGCAUACCUGGCCCACCAGACAAUCCAGCAGGGAGUGGUACCUUCUUUGCCAUGCACAAGCAUUAUCGCCUUCUGCAGUGGUCAGCAAAAGGGGCGUGUGUGUGGGGCGUGUGGCACAGAGGCAGGCUGGCAUGGGCAGUGCAAAGGCAGGCUAUUAGCAUGUUGCAAAACAAAAGCAGGUAGGGGCAUGCGACGCUGUUGCAAUUUGUUGUGUGCAGUGCAAAAGCAGGUGAGAGCUUGCGAAGCUGUGGCAAGUGGGGGCAUGGACUCCACCUGCUGGUAUGACAGAGCUGAAGAUGCCUGAGCUGUGCAAGAGCUUUGAGAGGUGGAUGGGGAGUUCUUGACCAAGGAAGAGCCCUGUGGUCCUUGCCUCUGGGGAGAGGGUGGGAUUGCUGAAGGGAGAGGGGAUUCUGUGAGUGAUCUGAGGGGUGUAGGAAGGGAACCGACAGGUUUAGGGUUCCUUUGCCGUGCUCUGCCCAGGCUGUGACAGUGCUGGGGUUGGUUUUUGAGUCACUCUGAAGACAAAAUGAGACAAAGGUUAUUUUGCGCAGCCUGAAACCCUGCAACUCUGCUCUGCCUCCAUGACUGCUGACCACGCUCUUCCCUUCUCCGCAGUGACCACGGCCAGCCCCAUGAAGACCCACGUCCGAUGGCUGUCUGUCUGCACUGCCCAUGGCUGUGAUGGAUGAGGCUACCUCAUGUCCCCUCCACCUGCCAGGCAUCCAAGCUUCCUCCUGCUCCACCAGCUCUCCCACUGGCUGCGACACCUUUGCCACCUCCCGUGUCGUGUGGUGGCAAUGCAUGGUGCUGGGGCAGGCCCAAACUCCCACCCUGACAGCAGGCACAUUUCCAAAAACUCUGCGCACUUCCUCGUCCUACUGGCUCGUGAGAAGAUCCUGUUGUCAGCUGUGCCAACCAGCACAGCAGAAUGUGAUUGUUACGGGCAGCCUGGGAAACAGCAGGGGAAUAACCCUUUCCCCCUUUGGCUGUUAUUUGUUGAGAAAUGCUCUCUGGUGAGUGUUGAGUCAGAGCCUGAUCCACUGAUGGAGCAUCUGGGGAAAGGACCCAGUCAGCCCUGGGAGCACAGGUGAGGGCAGUUCAGUUGUAUGAUGGAAUGAGGGGAGCCUGGCUGCACCUCUCCUAGACCUCACUGAAGGGCUGACUGCGUGGGCGAGGAUCUCUGGUUGGAGAUCCCUCCCUUGUGGAGUUUUCCCUGUGAGCCUGGAUCUUCAGGGACAGGUGAGCACUUUGUCUUGUAACACACUUCUGUUGUGCCAGUCCCUUUGUGGUUACACCUCCUUCCACUGCACUGAUCAUUCUGGUUGUUACAGACAUCCUCUGCCCCUUCCCACCUGUAAAGCAAACAAGGCGAUGACAGAGCCUUUAUUUGAGAUAGAGGAGCUAUAGAACAGGAUAUCAAAGAAAGAGGAAUCGACUCAUCCCUCCCAGCAACAGGUUGGCAGAAAGCGGUGAGCUGAGGAAUGCAGCCUUCUGCGUUUGAACUGUGGUGUGCUGAAAGGUGUUGCCCAGCUUUUGGGGGACUCACUGUGACCUCCCUGUCUCACCAGUGCCUCGUGCACUGGACUUCACAGCAUCUUGACGGAGCCAUUGUGCUUCCCAAGCAGUGCGUGGACCUUUCUGACGGGAGUGAGCAGCAAGGAACCGACUGGGUCUCAGCUUCCUUCCUGCCCUGCGCUUGACUGAGGGACCCUGCGACCAGCUCAGGAGAUUCCUCAGGAGUGGUCUUGGGUCAUCUGGCUUCCACCAAGAGUGCUCCUCUUCUCUCCACAGAU